rnacentral:rRNA from 1 species
CCUACGGGGGGCAGCAGUGGGGAAUAUUGGACAAUGGGGGGAACCCUGAUCCAGCCAUGCCGCGUGUGUGAAGAAGGCCCUCGGGUUGUAAAGCACUUUCAGUGAGGAAGAACGCCUGGUGGUUAAUACCCAUCAGGAAAGACAUCACUCACAGAAGAAGCACCGGCUAACUCCAUGCCAGCAGCCGCGGUAAUACGGAGGGUGCGAGCGUUAAUCGGAAUUACUGGGCGUAAAGCGCGCGUAGGUGGCUUGAUAAGCCGGUUGUGAAAGCCCCGGGCUCAACCUGGGAACGGCAUCCGGAACUGUCAAGCUAGAGUGCAGGAGAGGAAGGUAGAAUUCCCGGUGUAGCGGUGAAAUGCGUAGAGAUCGGGAGGAAUACCAGUGGCGAAGGCGGCCUUCUGGACUGACACUGACACUGAGGUGCGAAAGCGUGGGUAGCAAACAGGAUUAGAUACCCGUGUAGUC